rnacentral:rRNA from 1 species
GACGAACGCUGGCGGCGUGCCUAAUACAUGCAAGUCGAGCGAAGUUUUUCCGGUGCUUGCACUAGAAAAACUUAGCGGCGAACGGGUGAGUAACACGUAAAGAACCUGCCUCAUAGACUGGGACAACUAUUGGAAACGAUAGCUAAUACCGGAUAACAGUAUUUCUCGCAUGAGAGAUAUUUAAAAGUUGGUUAUGCUAACACUAUGAGAUGGCUUUGCGGUGCAUUAGCUAGUUGGUGGGGUAAAGGCCCACCAAGGCGACGAUGCAUAGCCGACCUGAGAGGGUGAUCGGCCACACUGGGACUGAGACACGGCCCAGACUCCUACGGGAGGCAGCAGUAGGGAAUCUUCCGCAAUGGGCGAAAGCCUGACGGAGCAACGCCGCGUGAGUGAAGAAGGAUUUCGGUUCGUAAAGCUCUGUUGUUAGGGAAGAAUGGAUAUGUAGUAACUAUACAUAUAAGAGACGGUACCUAACCAGAAAGCCACGGCUAACUACGUGCCAGCAGCCGCGGUAAUACGUAGGUGGCAAGCGUUGUCCGGAAUUAUUGGGCGUAAAGCGCGCGCAGGUGGUUUAAUAAGUCUGAUGUGAAAGCCCACGGCUCAACCGUGGAGGGUCAUUGGAAACUGUUAAACUUGAGUGCAGGAGAGAAAAGUGGAAUUCCUAGUGUAGCGGUGAAAUGCGUAGAGAUUAGGAGGAACACCAGUGGCGAAGGCGGCUUUUUGGCCUGUAACUGACACUGAGGCGCGAAAGCGUGGGGAGCAAACAGG